CAAAUAGAUCUGUUACCAACCCUAGCCGGAGAUUUCCAAAAUCUCCCAACAACUGCUUCCAGUUGCUUCUAAUCACAAUGCUACUUGUGAUAAAAUCUUAUCACAACCUGCAUUGCUGAUCAAUUCACUGUUCAAUUCCAAAAUUCUUCACCAGAAAACCUCAAAUACUUACUUAAUCUCCAGUUUCACUCCACGGCGCUGCUAAUUGGCUGCUAAUUGUUCAUGGUUAAUCGAAAUUGAGCUGAUUCUUGAAUUCAGUACAUAAUAGUUCAUUAAUUUGACAUUUUUGUUGAAUAUUGGAGUUCUAAUUGUUGUGUGGAUCUGAGAUGAUGAUUCUGUAUACAAUUGACGCACAAUACGACGUCGUAGAAGUGUAGAAGUAUUGCGAGAUUGAUUUUAGUUCCAUUCAGCGAUUAGGUUAAGUUUCUGUAAGGAAGAUCGGCGAUAAUGUCUUCUAAUACGGUGGAAGUCAACGGAACUGAAUCUGACAUGGCAUUUCAGGCAUUUGAAGGUAAUUUUUCUUACAAAGUUGACGAGUCGCAGGUACCGGUGCCGGAAUUGAAUAUUAGUGUGAUAAAUGGUGAAUCGGUGACUAUGGAAGUCAACGGAAUGGAAUCUGAGGCGCUGCCUGUGGCAUUUGACGCGCUUGAAAGAUUGAAGAUUAAUUCACAAGCUUGAGCAGCUAAUUGCUUUGCGGUUUCCCCCGAGGCUAGGGUUUUGUAAGUAGAUGAACUAAUUCAAUCUGUCUUUAUGUUUGGGAUUAGCAAUCUAAGCAUUCAAUGCUUUUUACUAUUUGAUUCAUUAAUGUGAUUGUAACCGGUUGAGUUUUAUUCAAUAUCAUUUCGUUUUUCUUUCAGGUA